UUUAUUAUCUACCUGCUGGUGUCAGAAAGAUUUCCUUUAAAACUACUUAAUUUUUUUUGAAAGAGUCUCAUAGAGCCUAGGCUAGCUUCAAACACUCCCUGUAGCUAUGGGUGACCUUGAACUUUUGAUUUUUCUCUCUACUUCCUGAGUUCAUACGUAGGCUUACAGGUGUGAACUACUAUAGCUGGUUUCUGUUUUACUGGGUAUUGAAUCCAGGACUUCAUGCAAACUAGGUGUAAUUUUAGUUUAAUUAUCACUUUACAUAAGCUAGAGUUACCUGGGGGAUGGGCCACAGGGCAUGCCUGUGGAGGAUUUUAUGGCUUGACUGCUAUUGGAAGACCCAUCUUAAUUGUGAAAGAGACCAUGCCCUGGGGAAGAUCCUGUACCAUAUAGUGGAGAGAGCAAACUAGGCAACAGUAUGAAUUCUGCCCGUUUCCUCAUUGAGUAAAUACCAAUUGCUUCAGGCUCCUGCUAUCCUGACUUCUCGAAAGGCUGUUUGAACAGUGACCUGAAGUAAAUUCUUUCUCCCUUAAGUUGCUUUGGUGAGAGCACCUUCUCUUAGCAACAGGAAGGGAAACAGGCAAGCAGUGACUCAUGCCCAAGUCCACUGAUACUUUCAGUGUUCUACAAAACUCUUACGGGAACACAACUGAGAUGAAACGCAAAGGAUGGCAUGAACGUUUGGAAACGCACAUUUUCUCAGUGUUCACCCGCUGUAGUGUUGUGUAUAAGAACACAUGGUGGCAUUUCAGUUUGCAAGCUCAAUCCAGCCAUUCGUCAUUAACUUCCUGCAGUUUUACGGCCUGCUCCAGAAGGAGAAGACGGAUGGGAUGGGGCCACAGCUGACCACAGCAAUGAAGGAAGAAAUAUGCCACAGACACUGCAAGCUUCUGAGAUGCCGAAGCCAUUUGUAAUGGGAACUUUACCUAUGGAAAACAGACUAAUAAAUCAUGGGCUGAUUUAUUAAUAAAUUCCAAAGACACAAGCAUUCUCACACCUCAGAUUCUGUUUUCCUUAUCUACACUGCUUUCGGCCUACUUGCUUUCCUCUCAGUCUGAUUGUACCUUUCAUUAUUUCCCUUUAUUGCCAGCAUAUGGUCCACCAUGGUUAAAACAUGUUUCCGUUGUUGUACUUUGAUUUUCUUCCCAGAUGAUACUAAUUUUGCCAGUCAGUGUACAGCUUCCAUUUUCUCUCCAGGCAGCUUUAGGUCAGCAUUUUGUUCCACAUAUGAAAUGUGUUGUUUAUAUUAAUGUAACAUCAACAUUAAAAAUAACACUAACAUAUCCAAGUAAAAAUAUUCUGUGCAUUGGGUGUAAAAUAAAGAAAUGAUCCUUUUAGUUGUUAGUAUAAAAAAUAAAGAGAUUUUGAAGUUGAAAAUGUGACACUCCCACUAUUGUGAAGCUGGGAAAAAAUCGAAUUUUAGAUGUAUUCUAUGCACACCCCAAUAUGAUUUGUUUUGAACAAUUAUAAAAUGUUUUUCUCCUUCUAUUUAUAGUGAAUAGGAACUUGAUCCCAAAGUAAUUCUUGGUAGACUUUGAAGGGUUUUAAAAAUCUUUUACAUAUAUAAAUAGUUAAUGAAUGAUUUUAUUCACUGUAUCUGUAAUAACUGCCACAAUCUUGUUACUACAUUAUAAAGAAUUAUUUUAUUUUGGAAUAAGUUUUAUAAAUAUAUAUGUCUACAUCACAAAAUAGCCAAACUGAAUUUACCCUCCAAUAGAAAAUAGACUCCAAUUACAGAUCAGGAAAGCAUUUAUAGAAAAUAUCUACUCACUCUUUAAUUUCUACAAUUUGCUAAUUUUGUAUUCUCUUAGACUGUUUUCCUCUGAGACAUUUCUCUCACAUGCAAGUGAGUUGUAUAAUAGUUAACAUGGUCCGCGUUAACAGUUCCUAGAAGUUGAGAGCUUCUAAGUUGUUUGGAGUCACAAGCUACAAUCUUUUAUAGUUUCAGAGGUCUUUGUGGAAUUCCCAAUACAAAUUUUAAAUAAAUAAGAAGGAAAAUAUUUUCCUUUUCUUAUGCUUUGUGAGGCUAUCUGUCUCUUGGCUAACAACCUGCUACGUAUUGAAGUUCCAGAGAAAGAGGAGUGGCUCUCUGAUUGGCUAUUGCAGAACUAGAGUAAUGUAAUGUUUUGUAAGUAUCCUCAGCAUACGUCAUCACAGUCUAAUACUUUAGGCAGAUAAAUCUAUUAUUGUUAUUUCCAUUAAAUACAUUCUAUUCAUGACUUAAUACAAAGACAUACAAGUCCAUGCAAUUUUAAUUGAUUUAAAUAUCCCAAACUAAAAAUGACUAAAACUAUACUUAGACAAAGUGCUUUAAAUUCUAAAGCAACUUGAAAAGUCUAAGACACAAGUUAGUCUUUUUUAAAGAAGCCAUUAUAGGAAUUUUCGUUUUUUAGAACUUUAAAAAACUUCUUUGGUAAAUAAUUAUAAUUUAUCUUCUUAUUGCAAAUAACAUUGAAAAUUAACUUUGAACAUUGAAAAAUAACUUAGGAGAUUAAUACAGGGCUACUAUGUUGAGAUAUAUUUCUACUGCCAUCACUUAAGCCUGACUGAUGUAACCUAGAUCCAUCUGUAUUAACAGUAAGCACAAUUACUUAAAGCGAAACGAAAGCCAAAUGAAAUCAAGAAAGAGGAGGAAGGAAGGAAAGAAAGGAGGCAGGCAAGUAAAAGUCUAUAUGACAGCUCUAAGUGACAGCUCUAAGAUUCACUUAGAGCUAGUUGCUAUGCCAAACUUUAUGAAAUGGUAUCAUAUCAAUUAUAUGGUAAUUAUAAGCAAAAAUAGUCUUAUUAUUCAAAGCAUAAUUAAUACAAACCAUCCUAUGAAUAUUCAUAUAAAAGAAUGUGAAGUUUUCCUUAAUGAAUGUUAAAGGAUGAGAAAUUCAGUUUUUCAAUAAUUUAUGAAUGUUAGUCUGGAUUACUGUAGGAUACAGUGGUCCCCAAAUUUUGAUCAGAAGAACCUGUGAAAAGCCUAGAAGUUACUUGGUGGAAACAAUAAAUGUAGGUGAGACUGUCGAUAUACAGAGUGGAAAACAAUGCAGUCAGAGAAUGAACAUGAAGUAGAUUGUUUCAGCCCAAGACACAGAUUCUAUAAAAGUGAUAUGGGGCAUCAAUUCAUAUUGAGAGGGCUGAUAGACAAGUUCAAAUUUUGCCAAUAGAGAAUGGGACAAAAUUAAAAUGUGUCCUAGAAAGGAGACUGGAUUAGGGCAAAGUUGAGUGUUGGUCACAGAAAUAGGAAUAUAUUUUCUGUAGAAAGAGAAAAAGAUCAGUAAUGUGGCAAGGAACUGCUACUAAAGUAGGUGAAACAAAUCUUAUCUGAUAGGAACAGUAGGAAUUUUAUCAUUCUGUCUCUGUCUAGGAUGGUGAUCAGUUAACAAGACACAGUUACAAACAGAAGAUGUAAAACCCUGCAAGGGAAUGACUGCAAUGUCUUUCUAUGUCUUCUCUACAAAUUGACCUUAUCAAUGAAUUAAUAAAUAUGAUGAAUAAAGAUACAUGCUGACUGCAUGUUUUUAGUCUAGUGUUUUGUGUUAGUAGUAUAAAUAUAUUUUGUAAUGCAUAGAAGUUUCCAUUCAUGUAUGAAGGCUAAUUGCUAACUGCAUUCGCUUUUACCUGCUCAAUGCUCAUUGUAGUAGAGCCUUUGUAAUCAAGUAGAAUGUUAUGUAUCGUGUUUGUGCUCCAUUCUCCAAAGCCAUCAGCACUGCAUUACUUCGUACCUCAUCAUUUCCCCUAAAUUCUAAGGUAACUUUCUAUGGAGCUGAUCUCCUUAUUCCCAAACUUGCCUUUUUCGGAUGUAUAACCUAUGUAUUCCACUAAAAUGAAAAAUCUGAUCAUGGCAUUUAGAAUUGGAAACAGCACGUAGAUCUGCCUGCUUGACUAUAUUGAGGCUGACCACUAGGCGAACGUGCAGAGAUUUUUCUCUAGCCCCAGAUUUUUCUGUAAUAAAGCAUCACGCUGAUGCUGAUCUGCUUAGCUCGCUGACUGGGGUGAGGAUUAAACAGGAGAAACCUGCAAAUGCUUCACACCCUCUAACUUGCGCUCACACCCAAGGUGUUAACGUUCAGCAGGUGUUGAAGGUGAAGCAUUGUCAUUCUCUCAGUCCAAGUGAGGAUACUGGAGGAAGUUCAAAUGGCCUGGCAUCCCUCAUGUCCAUCCUUGGACCACUGAGUAAACUUAUAGUGCUGGAUUAAAAUUUUGUGUGGACAAACGUUACAAUUUUAAAGCAAUAUGACAAAAAAAAGAGAGAAACAGAAAUGCUAAAUUUGUAGAGGAGGUCUUAGAACAAACUGAAAUUAUGCUCCUUGGUGAAAGAACUACAAGGCCAGAGGGUGUGCCAGACGAGUGGAGGAGUUAUCACUGAUAGAUGCUCUCCGAAGCCAAACUCUUUAUUGUGUAAUGGACUUGUGAAUAAAGAUUAUAUUAAGGAGAUGUCCCACUAUUUUGUUAUGGAUGAAGACAAGAAUGGAAUCAAGAACUUUCUCCACUUCUUUUAGAAUUAUCCUUUUUCUGAUGCUCCUCGUUCACUGGUAGCCUGACACUGUUAUCAUCUAACCUUUGUGUCUAUAAGAAAGUUGCAGAUAAAAUUUAUAAAGAUAAAGGCUUAUUUAGUUAUAUAACUUAUUCAGUGUUUAAGUAGGCCAAUGAAAUAAAAGAAUAACAGAAAAAGGCCAAUUUUGAGAGGUCAGAGCAGUUUAUAAAACUCGCAGCUACUGCAACAAUUAUUUUAAAUGGCCUGUAAUAUUUUCUAGUCCACUUCAGCUAUAAUGGCAGAACCCUAGUUUUUUUAUUGUUUUUGUUUUUAAUGAAAUGACCCAUACUCUAGGAACGUUGGGGGCAGGAUGUAGUGUUUAUGAUGAGGUUAAAGAGUUGGCAGGUCUAUGACUUCUGCUUAUUCUCUGUUGAGGGAUCUUUCUUUCUUCAUUUUCUUCUUUGCCGUUGGCUCAGUCACUUGACUCUGUCCAUCCUCUUCUAGUUCACAUCUGCCCCUCUAAAACAGCUUUGUAGUCUGUGACUGUGGGUCUACCCCUGAGAAUUGCUAAGUCCCUCUUUGAUACUGCUCUCCAUUCUAAACAGCCAAGGGAGGCAGGCCUGGUAUUGAAGGCAAAAGCGCUCAUAUAUACUAACUCAACACGCAAAGAAAGACAAACGAGAAAAGAGUGUGUUCUCAGGUUUAUAAUGCAGAGGGCCAUAUUUACUUUAUUGGAAGUAUGAAAGAAAACAUGACCAUCUAACAACCUGGGAAAAAAAGAAAAUAUAAACUAAAACAAUCUACAUAUUGGUCUGUGGAAUUCAAAGAGCUAAUAUAGGUUACAAAUUAGCUAAGCUGAUUAACUUUGACCAUUGACAGACUCCUUAACUCAGUGUAAAGGUGUAAAGUAAAAAGAAUUAGUUGUAGAAAAUUAUCUGGGUAUUGAAAAGGCGUUAACAUUAGAGGGAGUUUGGUGCCAUGAGGUGAUCAAGUCAUCCAAAAAGAAAUCGAUAAAGUUUAUAAAACUAACACUGUUUUCUUUAUAAUCCUAUAAGGCCAGCUUUGCAAAUGUAGUAUUUUCUAAGCUUUCAUUCAGUUCUGUAUCAAAAUUUAUGGAUGCUUCAAUAUUGAACAUUUACACAGAUUUUAAUUAUAAGAUUUUCCUAUUUUAGCUGCAUUUGGCAAGGUGAUACCUUCAAGUUGGGGAAAAAUUGCAGCUGUCAUAGCCACAUGCCUAACAGGUUCUUCUGCUCAUGAUUGUUUUAAAAUGACAGAAUUAAAGGACAUAUUUUUUAAGGUUUUCAGGUGUAAAAUGAUUUAUACUUGUAAGUGAAUAAAACACACUGAUGUAUAUGUUAAGCCCAAGAAGCAGACACUUGAAAGGUCAGAACCUGUCCUAGUACAACAUGUGUGCUACACUGACAGAGUAAACAACAGAAUAAACAUUGGUGGAGGACUUAUCUAGUACUCCACUUUAAGACAACAGUCACUGUUUAGAAGGCAAAAAGCAUUUCUAACAAAUACUUCACAUUGGCAAUAAAAAUGUGAAUGGCAUCUUAAAAUACCAGUGGAGUCGAGAAAGAAACCAUUUCAGUUCAAAGCCUCUGUUGCUUAAAAAUAAUUUUUAUACAAAAGGUUUCGUGACUUGUCCCCACUCAACAACUCUCCCCUCACCUCUAGGCCAUGCUGUUUAUGUUGCUGCGGGGUGUACCUCUUCCUCAAGGAUGUCUACCUGUUGCUAUCACUGUCCAUGUAAGCUGUCUCCUUCUUCCUGUAAGGCUGAUUCAAACUGUAAUGUGAUACAGAGGUGCCACUUCAUAGUCAGGAAGGAGGGGCUCACUGUCGGUCUUCAUUGAUUCCUGUUAAGCUGUUUGUAUUCUUAAUAAUUGUGUCCUGAGCUUUGUUACUUUUUUAAUAAAAUAUUUCAUAUUUAGUUCUUUAAGGUUAUAGUAAUAUUGUUUUCCUUGCAGGUGUGUAUGGGCACUGUGUACAUGCCUGUGAAUGUCAAAAGAAGGCAUCUGAUCUACUGGAAUUGGGGUUAAGGUGGUUGGGAGCCAUGUGGGUACGAGUAACUGAACCUGUUCUCUGCAAGAGCAGUUAGCGCUCUUCACUGUGGACAUCUCACUCCAUCAAUUAUGUAUAUUUAUAUCAAUUAUUAUCUUUUCAGAACUCAGAUUAGUUAUCUGAUUUUCCUGUUCCCCUAAAGGAUCAAAUCCUUUGUCUCUCCCCUUUUUACAUUUCCUCCUCCUUUCUAAAUCUGUUGUGCUGGGGAGUGAAUCUAGUCUCAAGUCUGCUGACCAAAAGCACUCUCUCUCCCCAACGCUAAUUCAAUCUCACAUCCAUCUUAGCACAAAGCUUAAAGCAGAAGCAUCACAGAGUGGGCGUUCAGAAUUUCUGAACUUUGAGUCCAAGUCCCCUUAGAGGAUUAUAUUUAAAUUGAGGAGUCUGUGUCAGGGUGAGACCAGUGUUAAGCAGAGUGAUCAGGUUGCCCCAGCAGUCAUUAUUAACACUGUCCUCUGACUGCAUGCACAUAAUGCAAUAUUGCAUUUUCCAGAUGUUCUGUGCACAGGUCUGGGCUACAGCAUUCGACUGCAUGUGGCAGGCUCUACAAAGCAUGCCCCCCUUCCUUUGUGAAGGGUGCCUGAGAGAAGCAAGAGGAGGACAAAGCAGGGGACUGUAUCAGAGAAGUGAAAAAAGGAGCGCUUGAGGAGAACUGGUCAGCUCUUCUAAUGUGUUGGUUAGAUGCAUAAAGUCAACGAUUAGUGAUACAUCUUUCCAUAUCCCUGAGUGAGCGCAAUGGACAAAGCCAAGAAGUUUCUCACUUAGCAUCCGAGACCCCUGCAGUGAACAUGUAAUGAGAGCAGGAGAUGAACUUCCAUACUUCUCAGCCACUAAGUUCAGGUGGAUGAUGGUUGCUACCCUCAACUCUGCAUAAGUUAGCACAACUUGAGGGUUAAGUGAAAACGUUGAAAGGCACUGGGAUACACUUGAUUUUCUUGCUUCAAUUUCACCAGCAACUCAAGUUUCUUCAACUCCUAGAGUUAACUCUCAUCAACAGAAUACGGAAAGUGAGCCAGCUACAUGACCACAUGGAGCAGAAUGUCACUGAUGUGAACUCUGACAGUUUAUCAAAGUAUAGGGGAAAGUUACAUGAAUAAGGACUUUGUGUCAGACACGGUGGUCCCAGUCUGUAGUCCCGGUAUUAGGGAGGCUGAGCUAGGAGGAUGGACUGAAUUUGAAGCCAUGUUGGGCUGCAGUAGUAGCAUCUGUCUGUCUAAGGAAAGAACAAAAGGCAGAUUACUGUUUGAUGGAAUUACUUGUGACUUUAAAGUGACAAUAUGGAAAGGAGUUAGACUUCUAUUCUUGUUUGAGGAGCAAAUGUAGAAGUAGAGGUGUCCCCAACGGGUGUGCCACGCUUGUGGGGAAAACUCAGGAAGAUAUUGUUGAGACAUUUAGAACAUUUGACCUUAUUCUUUCAGUAAAGCUAAUAAUGUUAAAAUUUACCAAAAAAUGAAAGAAUGUCCUAAUGUUUUAUGCUACUCAACAGGACAAUUUUAUUUCUCCACAGCACACAGGAAAUCUCUUAAGAAUCAUUAGAAUUUUGGAAGCUACGGUCACAUGCACGCUUUCAGCAAUUUUAAAGACUUCAUAUAAAGAUCAGAUUUUAGCUGACUCCAGGUAUCCCCAAAUGGAAAAGUGUUUAUUUUUCCCUAUUUCAAAUCACACCCUUGCUUUCUCACCCAAUUUAUAAUCACACAACGCUCAUACUGUUGUUACUUUCAUCUCCAGUGCUGCCUGGAAUUCUUAAUGCAUAUCUGUAUUUUUAGAUCAGAUAAAAUGAGUAAGAAGUUCUUUCCCUGAAAAAAAAUAUAGAGUGUGACUCAAAGAAAAUGAUAAUGAAAUGAAAUACUUAAGGCCUUGUGAAGUAUUAAUAGGGAGCAACUCUGUCUGGAUGCUCGAGUCUCUAACUCUGUGUCUCUGAAGUGGUGCUCUGAUGAGCUUGUGCCCACGUCUGUGGGCAGCGAUUUUUGGACAGAAGAGUGAAGGGGGGCAGGGGAGAACUGCCUGCAUGAGGUAGUACAUGGUGACUAGUCCCGUCUUUCCUGAAUUGUAUCCAUUUUCCAGGAUAACCAACUCCACUUAAGAGAUUAUCUUCCACCAACGAAGUCAAGUGCUCGAAUGGAGCAUUUUCUGCCUUGGUUAUUAAAUUCCAGGUCAGAAGCUUGGGCUGCAUUUUCUGACGUGUCCCACCCCUCCACUGCUCUUAUACUGUAUGUUCAGCAGUUCAGAGAAGAAAGUUAUUAACCACAUGUCAUAGCAUAAAAAGGAAUUCCAACCAAAGCACCAUUUUGCUUUACCGUGAAGGGGGUCAUAUGGGUCAGGGAGUUACUUGUGUACUGAUAGAGUGGUACUGAGAAAUGGGAAAAUGAUUUCAUUCUGGGGAGGAGCUACUUAGUGUAUGAUAUGAUGAUGUAUAUUUUAAGGAUGUAAAAUUCCUGAUUCUGUAUCAGCUACACCUGUAAGAGGUCUAUGAUGGAGUUAAUGCGCCAUACCCAGGGUCUCCAAGUGCAAGUAGCUGUUGAUUGUAAGAAGUCUGUGAGUGGGAGCAGAGAGCCAACAGUGUCACUUGACUAGUAUAUGCUCUUAAAAGCCAGUUUCACAUGAGUUUAAAUGCAGCUGGGAAGAAAAAUUUUUUAACAAAAAAUUACUUUGAUUUUAUCUCCUAUUUCAAAGCCUGAGACUAUAUGUGAUCAGGAGACUACAUCUAGGUCAGAAAUAAAGUUCAGCCCUCUAACUUAAGCACGGUUAAGAUGGCAGUUGGAUUCUUGGUGCACAGAAAUGUACAUUCAAAAGCCUACUCAUUUGUUUAGCACAUCUGUUAAGUGAUACAACGUCUAUACCUAUGAUUACUCCAGAGAUCAAAUUAAGAACAUUCCUCAUUUGUUGGUCUCUCUCUGAGGAAAACACAAGGAAACAAAUGCUAAUCAAAAGAUUAAUGGGCUUCUUAAUGUAUAAUACAUCAACUACAACUCAAACUUUACAAAACAAAAUGAAAUAGAGUGAGAUGAUCUAGACACAUUCCUGUUCAAUACUGCAUAGGUUUGGAUUCUUGUUUUUACAUUCCAGUCAUUGCCCCCACCAUUUGAU